rnacentral:rRNA from 1 species
GAGUUUGAUCCUGGCUCAGGAUGAACGCUGGCGGCGUGCCUAAUACAUGCAAGUCGAGCGAACAGAUAAGGAGCUUGCUCCUUUGACGUUAGCGGCGGACGGGUGAGUAACACGUGGGUAACCUACCUAUAAGACUGGAAUAACUCCGGGAAACCGGGGCUAAUGCCGGAUAAUAUUUAGAACCGCAUGGUUCUAAAGUGAAAGAUGGUUUUACUAUCACUUAUAGAUGGACCCGCGCCGUAUUAGCUAGUUGGUGGGGUAAUGGCUUACCAAGGCAACGAUACGUAGCCGACCUGAGAGGGUGAUCGGCCACACUGGAACUGAGACACGGUCCAGACUCCUACGGGAGGCAGCAGUAGGGAAUCUUCCGCAAUGGGCGAAAGCCUGACGGAGCAACGCCGCGUGAGUGAUGAAGGUCUUCGGAUCGUAAAACUCUGUUAUUAGGGAAGAACAAAUGUGUAAGUAACUGUGCACGUCUUGACGGUACCUAAUCAGAAAGCCACGGCUAACUACGUGCCAGCAG